GCUUGUCUCAAAGAUUAAGCCAUGCAUGUCUAAGUAUAAGCAAACUUGUACUGUGAAACUGCGAAUGGCUCAUUAUAUCAGUUAUAGUCUACUCGAUAGUACCUUACUACUUGGAUAACCGUAGUAAUUCUAGAGCUAAUACGUGCGUAAAUCCCGACUUCUGGAAGGGACGUAUUUAUUAGAUAAAAGGCCGACCGGGCUCUGCCCGACUCGCGGUGAAUCAUGAUAACUUCACGAAUCGCACGGCCUCGUGCCGGCGAUGUUUCAUUCAAAUUUCUGCCCUAUCAACUUUUGAUGGUAGGAUAGAGGCCUACCAUGGUGGUAACGGGUGACGGAGGAUUAGGGUUCGAUUCCGGAGAGGGAGCCUGAGAAACGGCUACCACAUCCAAGGAAGGCAGCAGG
rnacentral:rRNA from 1 species